ensembl:sense_intronic Gm12122 predicted gene 12122
GAAGCAAGCCAGUAAAGAACAUCCCUCCAUGGCCUCUGCAUCAGCUCCUGUUUUCUUACUGCUUGAGUUCCAGUCCUGACUUCCUUUAGUGAUGAACAGCAGUAUGGAAGUUUUCAACCUUCCUUCUCCUGGCAGUUGAAAAAAGCCUUGUGUGGCUUAGCCCACCUUUGCAAGCCUGGUGCUGCCUGAGGGGGUGUAAGGGGGUAACCACCUCUGUUCUUGAUCUGACCUGACUAAUUGGCCCCAGGGAAGUAAAUUAUAUAGAAAGAAGAGCUGUCUCUGACGCUGGCUGCUGCGUUCAUCCCUAAGUAUAGGAGACACGAAGAAGAACCACAUCACCUUGUAAAUCUGUUAUGGCCUCUUGGCCUCUGAGCCAUAAUAAAUAGAAUCCUCGCAGGCUGUCCUGAAGAUAUGAAGACGUUUUGUGAGAACAUCUGGCAUUCAUUGACUAAGG